rnacentral:sRNA from 1 species
UGUCAUCGAUGCAUCCAGGGUAACGCCCAGU